GCUUGUUUAGCUUUACGACGUUUUAACUUAAAAAUAAAAAACAAAAAAUUUUGAAAAAUUUGAAAGAUGUGCUGUAAAAUAAAUGAUUUAUUAUUAAUUGUAUGUGAUGUUUAAUUAAAUCAUAGUCAAGAUAUAAUUAUCAUCUGUGGAUUAAAAUAAUGUCGCAGGGUGACGAUCCACCGUACUUACCUGUCGGUACUGAUGUAAGUGCUAAAUAUAAAGGAGCAUUUUGUGAGGCGAAAGUGAGUAAAGUAGUGCGUGUACUUCAAUUAAAAGUAACAUAUGUGGGAUCUGGACUUGGUACCGGUACUGUAACAGAUGAACAAAUUCGAAUUAUACCAACCGGUAAUAAUCAAUCACAAAGUGGUUUAUUACCGUUACGUGUUGGACAAACCGUACAAGUUAAGCAUCCUGAAAAGAAAGAUUAUGUGAAUGCAACUAUAAAUCGUAUACGAGAUUGUAGCCAGUAUACUGUGGUUUUUGAUGAUGGCGAUAUAACAACUUUACGUCGAACUGCGUUAUGUUUGAAAAGUGGAAGGCAUUUUAAUGAAAGUGAAACUUUGGAUCAACUACCACUUACACAUCCGGAACACUUUGGUAAUCCAGUCGUUGGAGGAAGACGCGGUCGCAGAAGUAGGCAGUUGAAGGAAGAUAGUAGUGAUGAAGGAGAAGAUGAUGAUGAUAUGGAACUUGACCGAAGUUCUGGUUCCAAUGCAAAUGCAGCUAAUAUGGGGAAAGAUGUCGGAAAGGUGGUUUGUGUUGAGACGAGUGAAGGUAAAAGAAAAGCAUCGCGAGAUAGUAACUGGUUUCCCGGUUUAGUUGUAGCACCAACCGCACAAGCUGCUGUACGAAUAAAUACUCGCGAAGAAUGUUUAAUUCGUUCAUUUAAAGAUGGUCGAUACUAUACCGUACCCCGUAAAGAGAUGACUGAGUUUAAACGUGAUGGGUCCUCUUCUCGUGUUGACAGUCCACCAUUAGCUGAAGCCGUUGAUAAAGCAAUAAAUUAUCUAGACAAUGCAGAACUUCCGCAACAUUGGGAUAAAGAUGUGUUAUUUGGUUUACAUUUAGGUGAUUUGGAUUCUGAUGAAAAUUACACAGAUAGUUCGGACGAUGAGCCUCGUGAAGAAAAAGAUCAUUUUGUGGCACAAUUAUAUAAAUUUAUGGAUGAUCGUGGUACACCACUGAACAAAGGGCCAAUAAUAUGUAAUCGCGAUGUUGACUUAUACAGAUUUUUUCGCAUUGUCGAAAAAUUAGGCGGCUAUAAUAGUGUAACAAAUAAAAACCGUUGGCGAGCGGUAACAGCUCGAUUAGGUUUUACCAAAAACAGUGCAACAACAUUAAAUUUAGUAAAACAAGCGUAUUUUCGAUUUUUAUUUCCAUUCGAAGAGUUUAACCGAAAAUUAGGAUGCACAAUGGUUGCACAUCCUCGUAAUGUAAAAAAGAAUCGUGGGCGUAGUUUAAUCCGGGACAAAGAUCGUGCUACUCCUGUUCAAAUAAAUAGUCCGAAACCUGAACCGAAAACAGAAGAUAGCAACGAUACGGUUAUAUCAGAAAAAGAGAAAAAAGAGGAAGUUGUCGAAAAGGAAGAACCUGUAAAGAAAAAAGUUAAACCACCACCGGUUAAAGAAGAAUCAAUUGUUAAGAUUAAAAAGGAAGAUGUCACAGAUUCAUCAGGUAGUGAAGGAAUUUUGGAUGUUAUCAGUGACAAUGUUCAAACACCCACUACAAAAAAGACUAAUCAAGAAAAUGUUGCAUCAUCUUCACAAAAAAGUGCUAAAAAGCAAGCGGAGACUUCCAAAUCAAACACAUCAACAGCAACAAAACGUUCCAAAGUACCUGGUGAAAAAGUUAAAGCGUUAGUAGAAAAGUUUGAGGAACAAAGCAAAUUAGAAGAUGAUGAAAAAGUACAGCAAACUCGAUCGAAGUCAAGUGCAGCCGCAGGUUCACGUAAAGAUUCAGCAAUAUCACCAGAACGUAAAGGUCGUGAAGCUAAAAAUUCAGAAAAACAAGAUGAAGUUCAGAAAAGCAAGCCGUCGAAUAGUACAUCAUCGGGUAGCAAACCACAACGUUCUAGUCGACCUAGUGCUGAUGAGGAAAAGAAACGUGGGAGAAAGAAGAAAGAUCCUGAGGAAAAAACUCAACUCAGCGACAGUUCAAUGUCGGAUCCUCCAUCGGUUACGGUCAAAAAUGUUAAUAUUGGCGACAAGUUAAUUGUAUACUAUGGACCAAAUUUGGAAUCAAAAGUUACUUAUGAAGCAAAAGUCUUAGAAAUUGAGAGAGAUGACGCUGGACCAAUAUAUUUGGUACACUAUACUGGUUGGAAUAAUCGUUACGAUGAAUGGAUUAAGCCACAUCGAAUUGCAGAAAAUAUUAGUCAAACGUCAAAAGGAAAACGUCCUUCAAAAACUUCAUCUGCUAAAAGUACAAAUAAUAAUCAAAGUGCUGGAAAACGAGGGCGAGGUGCAUCAGUUUCUAGUAGGAAUACGUCUUCAGAAAAUCAAGGUCCACCACCAAAUCAAGCACGUUCUACCACACCAUCAUCAGUUACAUCAACAUCUAGUCGAACAAAAUCGCCAGCAACUCCAGCAGCCAGAGCUCCCUCCGCUAGAUUAGCUAAACAAGCGGAAUCAAUAACAAAACGAUCAACAAGUAUAAAUAAUGGCAAUCAAUCUUCAUCAACUCGUCAAUCAUCUACUGCAAGUGACUCAGAAAGUGGUAACAGUGAUUCAGAAGAUUCUCCGAAACGACGGCCAGUUAAACGAAAAGAAGAAACACCAGAACGAACACUUGAUGAAGAAAGUCCAACUGAGCGUCCAAAACGUGCCAGAAAAACUCCUAAAAAGAAUUUAGUAGAAACGGUUACUGUUGUUGCAACUCCUCCAAAUAAAGUAGCUCCUAUUGUGACAACCACUCCUUCAACACCAGUCGAAAUAUCAGAGCCAAAAGGUCGUGAUUACGAUUUAAAUCAAAUACGAUCUGAAUUAAAAGGUUUCGAAAAAGCUUUGAAAUUGAAUUCGCCAACUAGUACAAAUCCUCCAAGCACUAUUGAAGAAAUAGUACCAAAAGUACAAUUAGAAGCAACACCAAAAAUAGUAUUAUCAACAAAACCACCAGUUGAAGAAAUAGUGAAAAAAAUAGAAAAAUCUCCCGAGAAAGAAGUUUCAAAAGAAAAGGAAAUUAAAGAAAUCAAACCAGCCGCAACUGAUGAUAUAUAUGAAUUCAAAGAACCUGAACCAUUGGAAUUAGAAUCUCGUGCAAAAUUAAAUGACGAUAAGACCGCAAAGAAACGUCGUCUUCUAGAAGAUUUGGAUAAACCUAUUGAAAAAGUAUCAUCUCCCAAGAAAAAACUACCUGCACGGACACCACCAAAAAGUGAUAAAAAUGAUACUGAUAAAAAAUCAAGAUUUAGACGUAAUUUAACGAAAAAAUCAGAAGAUUCUGAAAGUUCAUCGCCUGAAUCAAAAUCACCAGCAUAUACAGAAAAGAAUAUUGAAGCACCAAGUGAAAAUACUAAAACUCGAAUUUUGUAUGCGAGUGAAGAAGCGUUUGAUAAGCUUGUAAUUUCACCUAGCUUCAAUUUAAAAACAUCAAUUACUCCAUCAAAAUCGCCUGUUCCACCUGAAGCUAAAAUUAAAAUUGAAGAAAUUGAUACUAAAUUAAUUAAAUCUGAAGUUAUUAUUGAGGAAAUGAAAAUUAUACCCGAAGAAAAUUUAAUGACUGUUGAUAAUGAUAUUAAAGAUUCAUCAAGCUUAGAAAAUUCUGAUGAAGAUGAUCCUAUUCAUGUAGCAAUACGAGGCAUUGCAGAAUCGAAAGAUGACGAAGAUAGUGGCGAUCAAUUAUUAAUAACUCAAACUUUUACACCAAUUACAAAAGUUAUGGAAGCUAAAAAAGAAAUUUGUUUAAUUACAAAAGAUAUCAUUGAAACUAAACCAGUAAUAAUUCCAAUAGUUCCAGAAGUAAAAGAAAUCAAAGAAGAUGUAACGAUUACUUCACCUCCAUCUGAAGAUAUCCCAGAGAAACCAAUUGUUACUGAACAAGAAGUUGAAAUUGAAGUUAGAAUUUCUCCGUUAGAAUCAGAAAAAACAGUAAUAAGUCAAUUGAAAAAGGAAGAAAAGGUUAAACAAAUUUCACCUGCUUUACAAGAAACUGAUAGUUCAUUACUAGAGGCAGCAAUUCAACCUCCAACAACAGAACUAUCAAACACUGAGAAUAUAAUCAUUCCAAAACGAACUGGUCCUCGAAUAGCUAGUUCAAUUUUACAGAAAUUCAAUGCAAUUAAGAAAAAGGAAGAAAAUCCUUCACCGGUGAAGAGUGAUACAACCGUAGUUAGUAGUGAUGAAAUUGAAGACACAACAAAGAGUCCGAUUAAAUUAUUUAUUGAUGAACCUGAAGUUCCGAUUAAAACAGAAAUUAAAGAAGAAGAUACAACAACGCCAACUUCAUCAGAAGUAAUUGCAAGUCAACAAGAUUUUAAACGACGUAUUGUCAGUAAGAAAAAUCUUAGUCGAGAAUUCAUAGAUUCUGAUGAAACUGAUAGUGACAGCGACAGUGAAGAACGCUUAGUAAUAGCACGUUCCGAUGACGAAUCACAAACUAGUCAACCCGAAUCAACCACAUCAAAUGCACCUGAUAAUAAAAUUAUUGAUUCCGUGAAAGAUACUGAUAGCAAUACAUCCGCAUUGCGAAUAAACACCGAAGAAAGUUCACAAGAUAGCAAAUCAAAAAUAUACUCAUUCGAAAGUACUAUAGUCGAAACUAAAGAGGAAAAAAUGGAUGUUAUAUCGUCGGCAUCAAAAACUGAAGAGGAGCCUGAUAGUAACAUAUCUUUAUUACUAUGUGAAGAAACUAUACCAGGAAGUCCAGCACCUGUGACGGAAUCAAUACAAGUUAAUAUUCCAGAAGUACGAACAAAACCAAAAUCCGCUAAAAGUUUAGUGCUUGAAAUACCAUUCGCUAGUGCACCAGGUACCAGUAAAACAUUAUUAAGUGAACAAUUAAAACAUAGUGGUGUGAAAGUUGAUACAAAAUCCUCCUCAUCGACACCAGUAACAGUGGUAUCAACACCUACUGUAUCAAAUAUUCAGUCUAGUGUAAAUACAAUAUUGCCGGCUAAUAUAUCGUCGACAAAUAAUAAUGGUGGAAAUAUUUCGACGACUCUUGUUACCAAUACUAUUAAACCAUUAAUUACUGCAGAUAUUGUGAAAGAAGAUGUUGAAGAUACACCUCUUGUGUCCGCAGUUAAUUCACCACCUACUACACCAGAGAGUUCUAUAUCUAAUUUAUCACCUAGAGGAGAAAAUGGUGGAUCAUCAUCCGGAACAGCCGAUGAAAGUGUAAAAUCUCAACGGGGCUCAGAAGCUAGUGAAGUUGAACAACCGUUUAGAGCAGUUAGAAUUACAAAACCUCAACAUUAUAGUGAAGAAGAUACUUUACUUAAUUCUGAGGCAGCAGCAGUUGAAAGAAUCAAAAAAGCAAGUCCACGAUCAAUUAACGAAGAUUCCGAAGCUGCAAUACCAACAACAACGGUAACAUCAUCAACACCAGUUGUUGUGACAAGUCGCAAACGUAGGAAAUCAUACAAAGGUGAAGAUGCACCAGCGAAUCCACCAGUAGGUGCAAAACGUGGACGAAAACCGAAUGCAUUGAAAAAUAUACGCAACAUUACUUCAUCGAAUGUUCCAAGCAGUACUAAUAGUGACAGUGAUGAUACUUCAGAAAGUGCCACUUCAGCAAAUACAAUACCAGUUGGCCCCAGUUCGGGAUCAAAUACAGGCCCUGAAAUACGGCUACAAUCAUCAACGCAACAUAGUAAUAAUUCAAUUCAACGUGUUUCUAAGUACAAUUUUAUUGUGGAUUUGGAUCCAGACAUGGAUGCUUCUCAAAGAAUAGCGUUACUACAACAAAGAAUGGCUGAGUUAAGAAAAGCAUACAGCAAUGAAAAGAAUGAUCUUGCUUGCAUUGAACGCCGUCUCAAGAAAAUUCGGCGACGUGAACGUGAGGAAAGAAAAUUAUCUCGUCUUCAAAUGAGAAAAAGAUUAAUUGCAUAAAAGAAUCAAAAAUACUAAAUACAUGAAGAAUUCAUUAUAUGGAUUUUGGAAUUAAAAUUUUAUCGUUUUCACUUUAAUAAUGAAAUCGAUCAUCAGCUUUGAAGGCCGCUAAACAAGAAAUAGCGUGUUCGUGAUAGCAAUUAACACCAAGGCGGUGUCCAAUUUUAAAGAUAAUAUUGAAACCACCUUAAUAAACAAAAAACACAAAUACACACAAAAAU